UAGUAACAUGUUAUAAUAGGUUUUAGAUAAUGUUUCUCUACUUGCCAACUUUUGACAAAUAUACCUGUGAAUUCCAUAAUGUUAUAAAUUCUCUUGAAAUGUAUUUGUUUUUCCUUUUAGCCAUUUUCUCUUUAAUUUCUUGGUCUCUCUGCCCUCUGUGACUGUGUUGAACGAUCUAGCAGUCAGAUUUGCUGAAGAUGAUGUUCCCUGAGGUCUCUGUUUCAGCUCUGUAAAGGCUGCAGGAAGCAGGAAGUUGCUGAGCAGCAUGCCUGUCUGGCCCACUGCGUGGCCCAUUUUCAUUCUGUUUCCUCAUGAAACAUUGCAAUGUUCGAAUCCGCAGUAGCUCCCCAUUGACUGGACUCAAGGUGACAGCUACAGCAAAUGGGAGAGCAAAAUGAUGGCAUGCAGAUGGUGAAAAAAUUUUCUUAGCCUUUUGGUGUUUGUUGCCAUAGCGCUGUAUUUGAAAAUUGAUGCUUUAGCCAACAGCUGAAUGGCCACCUUUUCCGUAGUUUCCACUAUUUUGUCUGCAUAGACUUUUUCCUGAACUACAAGCAAAAACGUAUUUUGUCAAAUGUCACAAAAGUGAAAAUGUUACUAAUCUUAGAUGUGUUGCAUAUUUUGUGUUUCUCCUUUCCAAACUCUUUCAAAAGCUGCAGUUACAAAGCUGUUUGGCUGUAUCGACAGCAUGUGGUGUGUUUUGCAAAAGCAGUUCUAGGAGAGCCAGGGUUUCUCAUGGACUCCUUGCAUCCCCACUCCAGGGUCAUCAACAGAGUCAAAACAGCAAUUUAGAAUGCUGUCAUUUUUCAAAAGAUAAAAGGGGAUGGAAACCAGACCUGGCUAUUAGUCACUAGUGUGUAGUACUGUGAUCUGAAGUAGGAAAUUUAACUCACAUAGAAUAAUUGUGGUUUUUGAAGCAGCUACUCAUUGCUUUUUCCUUUUGCUGUUAAGAUCAUGGAUUUGGAAUGUCUUCAUGAGGUGGGCCUAAGACAAUAACAUUUAAACUUCAUGUCUUGGAACCUACCCUCAACUGAACCCAAAGAUUAAAAAGACAGUAAGCUUCAUGUUUAGGCCUAAGCUUAAAAAUUUCCUUCCCUAACCCUACUAUUAGGUUUAAUGGGGAUUAAGUUUCUUUUCCAGAAAUUUAUAUAUACUUUUGAUUACAGAAUACAUCACUGAAAUUGGAAAGUUCUUUGAAUGAAUGGAAAUAUGUAUCAAAAUUAUUUUACAAAAGACCUGAUUACAAUGAAAAUUCCCUUUUUUCUUACAAAUUGCUAAUGGUACAAAAGCAUUUCAUUUAUGUCAAGCAUAUUUAAUUCCAAAUUCCAAAAGUGAACAAUUUAUUUAAUUCCUUGAAAACUUAGUAUCUAUUGCAGGUAGAGAUUAAAUUGUGGUUCUGGUGACUCAUCAAAGGAGAGAUGAUAUUUGAAAGACAUGUAUAAGUAGAAUAUCAUGCCUUAUGACUCACUUUAACAACAACACAGAUAUUCCAAUAAGAAUUGGAUCUAACAGUUCUAAUACGGCACAGUUCACCAGUUCUGAUGGUGCUGAGAGGGAGAACACAGGAUGCAGCCCCCUGACCCUCAUCUGAGAGACCCUGAAAACCAUCCUUCAGGAACAUCUUUGAGGCUCAUCCUCCACCAUGCUCCCACUCCACACUUCUCUGCAAGAAGUUGGGGAAACACUCAGACUGCCAAAAUUUUCUGGUCAGGAGCACAACUUUCUCCUUUUAUUCAUUGGAGUAAUGACAGAAUUUCCAUCCUUCACGCUUGUAUUUGAUCAACACAUGCAGUCAAAUCUUGACCUAGAAAUCUUGUAAACAUAAGCUGGUAGAAGAAAGUUGGCUUACUUUCUAACCCAAAUUCACACGUACAAAAAAAUUAGUUCUUAUGAACCUCCAUUUCUGUAUGGAAGAAUUUAAAACAGAUUUUAAUUUGUUCUGUUUAUUUUGGGAAGGUACAUGGGGGUGUUCUUGCAAGUGAUUCAUAUCUCAAACCCAUACCACUCUCAACUUUUAUUUGAUGUGUUCAAAGCCAAAACAAGUAUAAUUUGAAAAGUAAAGCUGAACACUAAAUUUGACAUGAAGCUGAAGGAGUGAGCAAGCCAGAAAAGAGUUUAAAUAAAGCAUGGCCUUGGCUUCAUACCACACUUUUUGUGCCUUGUAUUAUCAAUGUAAAUUCUGAAUGUUGUACAGUAAACUUGAACGGACUUCUUAGAGAAGGCUGCACUGGCUUCUUUUCAGCACAUGUACAGAUCUAUAAAUAUAUAUACAUAUAUAUUUGGUAAUGCCAAACAGCUGUGUUAUAUUGUACUGAACAAAAUGGACAGUUUGGAUGUUUUAUGUAGAGUUUGCAAAAAAAAAAAAAAAACUGGAUGGUUACAGACUUUUCAAGACAAAUGUACAGACGU
ensembl:lncRNA